UGGGGAAUAUUGGACAAUGGGCGCAAGCCUGAUCCAGCCAUGCCGCGUGAGUGACGAAGGUCUUCGGAUUGUAAAGCUCUUUUACCAGGGACGAUAAUGACGGUACCCGAAGAAGAAGCUCCGGCUAACUUCGUGCCAGCAGCCGCGGUAAUACGAAGGGAGCUAGCGUUGUUCGGAAUCACUGGGCGUAAAGCGCACGUAGGCGGAUAGUUAAGUCAGGGGUGAAAUCCUGGGGCUCAACCCCAGAACUGCCUUUGAUACUGGCUGUCUCGAGGUCGAGAGAGGUUGGUGGAAUUCCUAGUGUAGAGGUGAAAUUCGUAGAUAUUAGGAAGAACACCAGUGGCGAAGGCGGCCAACUGGCUCGAUACUGACGCUGAGGUGCGAAAGCGUGGGGAGCAAACAGGAUUAGAUACCCCAGUAGUCCCUGAGCGGGCUGGCAAGGCGCAU
rnacentral:rRNA from 1 species